rnacentral:rRNA from 1 species
UCGAGAAUCUUCCACUAAUGUGCGAAAGCAUGAUGGAGCGACGCCGCGUGGGGGAUGAAGGCCUUCGGGUUGUAAACUCCUGUCACAUGGAGCUAAUUGCGUAGAGUUAAUACCUUUUGCGCUUGAAGUGCCAUGAGAGGAAGCACCGGCUAAAUUCGUGCCAGCAGCCGCGGUAAUACGAAUGGUGCAAGCGUUGUUCGGAAUCACUGGGCAUAAAGCGCGCGUAGGCGGUGAUGUGUGUCAGUUGUGAAAUCCCUCGGCUCAACCGAGGAACUGCAACUGAAACUGCAUUACUAGAGUGUGGGAGGGGAGAACGGAAUUCCUGGUGGAGCGGUGAAAUGCAUAGAUAUCAGGAGGAACGCCGGAAGCGAAAGCGGUUCUCUGGCCCACUACUGACGCUGAGGUGCGAAAGCUAGGGGAGCAAACAGGAUUAGAUACCCCCGUAGUCC